GCGGGCUAAUACAGCAUGGGACCACAUGGUUUUUGACCGAGUGGUGAAAGCGGGCCUCUGUUCACAAGCUCGCGCUCUGGGAUGGGUCUGCGGCCCAUCAGCUAGUUGGUGAGGUAACGGCUCACCAAGGCAACGACGGGUAGCUGGUCUGAGAGGAUGACCAGCCACACUGGAACUGAGACACGGUCCAGACUCCUACGGGAGGCAGCAGUGGGGAAUCUUGCGCAAUGGGCGAAAGCCUGACGCAGCGACGCCGCGUGGGUGAUGAAGGCCCUCGGGGUUGUAAAGCCCUGUGGGGAGGAACGAACCGUUCGGGGUGAACAUCCUCCGGGCUUGACGGUACCUCCUUAGCAAGCAUCGGCUAACUCUGUGCCAGCAGCCGCGGUAAGACAGAGGAUGCGAACGUUGCUCGGAAUUACUGGGCGUAAAGCGCGCGCAGGUUGCCUUGUAAGUCGUGUGUGAAAUCCCUCUGCUCAACGGAGGAAGUGCACGGGAUACGUGCAAGGCUAGG
rnacentral:rRNA from 1 species